CUGGGAACCAACUGUGGCAAAGACGGGUGAUCUAUCAGGGGCUGCCUUGUCUCCUAAAGGCAGGAACAAGGAGCAAGCAGGGAGACGUUUUAAGGCACCUUUCCUGCUGGGCCCCAGCUUCGUCGAUCCCUCCCUCCACCUGCCUGCUGCCCUGAGGAAGUGCAGUCCGCAGUGUCCCACCGUUACUUCAGAUGGAUCCCGUCAGCACAGUCCAGAGGAGCCACAGAGGCGACAGACUGCUUCACGCAAAACAUGCAGUGAAGAGGUAGGAAGAAGAGAAGAAACAUUGGCCAAAGCCCACACGGACAGUGGGAUUGUUCGUGUUCAGACAGCUCACGCAGGCUCUGCUUUUUAAAGGUAUGAAGGAGGAGAAACACGUGAGUAGCAACGGGGGAAGAGAGCUGUUUUCCUUCGCACAUCACAGCAACGCUUACGGCAAGAUUCCAAAACCUGAAGAUGAUUUUUCCAUAAAACUUUUUUUCAUAUAAUGGAUAAUGCUGUGUACAGGCAUUUCUGUUUCUGUCACUUACAGAUGUUUCCAUUCUAGUUUGUAAAAACACCCUCACUUGCAAAGCUUUAGAUAUUUGGGCUUGUCAAAUUAUUUUUGGAGCUUCUGUAGAGACAACAUUUUUUUUUUCUUUGUAGCAGAUAUGUUCAAGUAACUACAGUGAGCAGUAAAGCCAGCUAUUUCCAAACAGUGCAGGGAUCUAGCUCCCAGAAACAAAAAUACUACUUGGACAGUACUUUCAAUGAUGGCUCCUAACAGGCCAUCCUAACGUGUGCAUUUAGCUUCUAAUCCUGCAUGUUAUUUUUCUGCAAAUAAGACUCAAAAGUCCACUGCACUGGACUCGGGGAUCAGGUUCACCAAAAGGUUUGCUUCAUCAAACAGAUAACAUAAAGUGGUCAGAUUAAUUUUUAAUCUCUGUGGGCGGGCAUAUCCAGUGUUUGUCUCCGUCCAAAGUCUCUGCACACUCAGAUAUUGAGAAUGCCACCACAUUUAUCUAUGUCCUUUCUUUUGGAAAGUUUUAGAAGACUUCAAUGGGUUACUGAUUUGAGGUACUAGAAAUUAGGAAAAAAAAAUAAUUCCCCUGAUUUCAAGCGAAGACACACCUAGCCCCUGCGCUUCCAACAGGUAUCUUCACUUCGGUGUUUAUGAACGCACUUUGGUUAGUUACAAAAACAAUGUUUUCUGAAGCAGCCUGUAUUUUCAUCCUUUUCUAACUCACUCUGAAAUAUUAACUCCUCAAAAACCUGUUUCAGGUCCUACUGUGAUGUUUACAAUGCUCUUUUCAGAAGGGACAGAGACCAAGGCCACAAUCAAACAUCCACUGAAAUACAGCACAGAUCUGCACUACCGUAACAGGGACAGUCUUGUUCUCGGCUCUGUGCCACCACUAGAGGAUGGAUCAAGGUGAAAAUCAGCUUUGCUGGUUGGGAUUAAAGAGCUGUGUAAUGACAGCUCCAUGCGGAAACUGUGAACAGAAGGGGUGGGAAAUGGGGAGAAGGGACACACAAGACAACAAAGCUCAGUUCUCAUUUCUAAUAACAAGGGAACAUUUGCAGCUUAUGAGAACGUGGCUGUGUUAACUACAUCAACUACUCUAAUAAAAGAGAGAACCUGUCUUUACCA